rnacentral:rRNA from 1 species
GAUGAACGCUGGCGGCGUGCCUAAUACAUGCAAGUCGAGCGAACGGACGAGAAGCUUGCUUCUCUGAUGUUAGCGGCGGACGGGUGAGUAACACGUGGAUAACCUACCUAUAAGACUGGGAUAACUUCGGGAAACCGGAGCUAAUACCGGAUGAUAUUUUGAACCGCAUGGUUCAAAAGUGAAAGACGGUCUUGCUGUCACUUAUAGAUGGAUCCGCGCUGCAUUAGCUAGUUGGUAAGGUAACGGCUUACCAAGGCAACGAUGCAUAGCCGACCUGAGAGGGUGAUCCGCCACACUGGAACUGAGACACGGUCCAGACUCCUACGGGAGGCAGCAGUAGGGAAUCUUCCGCAAUGGGCGAAAGCCUGACGGAGCAACGCCGCGUGAGUGAUGAAGGUCUUCGGAUCGUAAAGCUCUGUUAUUAGGGAAGAACAUAUGUGUAAGUAACUGUGCACAUCUUGACGGUACCUAAUCAGAAAGCAACGGCUAACUACGUG